CCUACGGGUGGCAGCAGUGAGGAAUAUUGGUCAAUGGGCGUAAGCCUGAACCAGCCAAGUCGCGUGAGGGAUGAAGGCUCUAUGGGUCGUAAACCUCUUUUAUAGGGGAAUAAAGUGCGGGACGUGUCCCGUUUUGUAUGUACCUUAUGAAUAAGGAUCGGCUAACUCCGUGACAACAGCCGCGGUAAUACGGGGGAUCCGAGCGUUAUCCGGAUUUUUUGGGUUUAAAGGGUGGGUAGGGGGGGUUUUAAGUCAGGGGUGAAAGUUUGUGGCUCAACCAUAGAAUGGCCGUUGAAACUGGGAGCCUUGAGUAUGUUAGAGGCAGGCGGAAUGCGUGGUGUAGCGGUGAAAUGCUUAGAUAUCACGCAGAACCCCGAUUGCGAAGGCAGCCUGCCAGGCCAUGACUGACGCUGAUGCACGAAAGUGUGGGUAUCGAACAGGAUUAGAUACCCUGGUAGUC
rnacentral:rRNA from 1 species